rnacentral:lncRNA from 1 species
CCAAUGUGCACAUUAGAUAUGUAUCGAAUCAAUUCCUAUUAAACGAAUUGGUGACUAAAGUCUUACCAAUCUUCUUGGGGAAUAAAAGAUGAGAGAGUUAUUUUGGAAUAAGUAAAGAUAAAAUUAAAAGCAUGGAAUUAAUUUGCAGUCUCUAGUAAUAAUGAUUCAUGAUUCCCUAGGAUCAAGAAUCUGAGUUUUGCUUCAAAUUCUAAGACGUG